rnacentral:lncRNA from 1 species
UUAAACUUCUCAAUAAAUUGUAGAGUUGCUCUUUUUUCAAUUUCAAAAUCAUCAACCAAUACACGAUGCAUACCUGAUGCAUACCUAGAAUAUUCAAAUAUCUCUUAGCAUUUGAUGCAAAAUAAUGAUUAAAAGACACCAAACAAAAUGUCCAUCCACUCACAUUUUAGUCUUUGCUUUGCCCAUAAACUCAUUUCAGGGUGCGACUACAUUUA